GUGCUUGCUUUGGCAGCACAUAUACUAAAAUUGGAACGAUACAGAGAAGAUUAGCAUGGCCCCUGUACAAGGAUGACAUGCAAAUUCGUGAAGCAUUCCAUAUUUAA